CCUUAUCUUAGAGUCUUCUGUCAUCAAAGGCUUGCAAUCCACUGCAGAGUAUACAUUGUACCAUUAUUUGUCAGCAACUUAUCAAAAAAAAUAUGAACACUGUUUUUUUUAGAUGUAAAUUCUAAUUCAUUGCCAUUACCAUCUGUCUUCUCUGCAUGACAAGGAUUUCCAUGACAAGACAAGGAGCCACUGUUUUCCAGGGUGCUCCAUGAGGAUUUUGGAUUAUCAACUGUCACACUAUAAGGAGCAGAGUAAGCACCAGUAAAUGAAGGAGAUCAUCUGGAAAAGGCCAAUGCUAAGCAUAAUAAAUCAUUAUGGAACAGAGAACUGUAAGGAAUAGAACAUCUUCCAGAUGACCAUGCUUUCUCGGCCCAGGAGACAGCCCAGUCUCUACAAGCAGCAGGACUCAGCAAGGCCCAAGGAAUGCCUCAGGUGGUGCCUCCUGUUGGCUGUUUUGGAAUGGGCUGUGCUGGUGACGGAUACAUCAGAGAUGACCUGUUAUGGGCUAACCCCAGCAGGCAGCUAAGGACCACACAGCUGUUUGCUCACUCUUCCCAAGAGUGAAGGGGAGAGACCUGGAAGGACAAAAGUGAGAAACCUCAUGGACUGAAGUAAAGACAGUGUCAU
rnacentral:lncRNA from 1 species